UUGUACUAUUUGGAAAUUCUGCAUCAAUCCAGUUUGAUCAUGCUAACAUUCUACUGGGAGAAGAAUGUCCUCCUCUCAAGAAUGUAGAAUUCACCAGGGUUCUUCGACUAGAGACAAAGAUAUCAGAUGAUCAUGUAUCAGUGAUCAACUUGACUGACUUAAAUGAGGCUAAGUUUGAUUGGGACUCUGUGGAUCAUCUCAUUGAUCAACUAGUGAAUGAAAAUGAAAUUCACGCCUUCAUCUUUGUUGUGCGACUGGGCCAGUUAACCAAUGAUGAUAAGAUGGGUCUGGAAUGGCUUCAGAGAGUGUUUGGUGACAAAGUUCUUCAAUUUGUGAUGAUUCUCUUCACCUAUGAGAAAGAAGAAGAGUGUGACACUAUAAUAGAUGAUCUAAAGAAAAACCCUGUUCUGGAGCAGCUGCUGGAGAAAUGUGGAGGAAGAUAUCAGACUUGUAACAAGAUGAUGAACAACCAAUCAGAGAUGAGAGACCUGAUGAAGAAGAUUGAGUAUCUGUUUUAAUGAGAAUCAACAGCAGUGCUACAUUGCAGACAUUUACAACACAUCACUGAGACCGAAAGAAGAGCUGGAAAACACUGAAUGUGGUGAUAAACCCACAAGAAUGGAGGACAAAUGGACAUCAGAGACUGUAGAAAAUCAGAAGGGAAAAAACAAGGAUUUGGGAACAACAGGAGUCCAUCCAGAUGAACAGCUACAACAGGAUGAGACUGAAAAACAGAGUAAUCUAUUUAACAGACUUCAUCUUGACAGGUGCCACAACAAAGUGGGAGCUGCAGAUGUUCUUCAGAUAACUGAACAUUCAUUACAGUCCCAUGAGUCUUGUGCUGAAGAUGAGCUGGUUCAUACUUUCAUACAGAAACUACUGAUGGUUGACUACAGAGCAAGAUAUAUUCAUGUUAAAGUGAUCAAUGAGUGAGAUCGAAUAAAACAAAAAGACAGUGAUUCAUCUGAGAGUGAUAUAUUUAAUGAUUUUUUUGAAAACAAAAGCUUGUAUCAUGAAGGAACAAGUCAAUCUGAUCUCAUUCACCCGAUGGAUGUCCAGAUGGCCGUGUUUUAUUAUGCUGAUGGUUUCCUGAAGCAGCUGAUGGUCACUAAACUGUCCCAGUGUCAGUACGCUCUGCCUCUGCUUGUUCCUGAUCCAUUCACUCAACAGAUUGAGUUUCCUCUCUGGACAUUCAGACAAAUCAACAAGAGCUGGAAGAUCAGAAACAGAAACAACGAGAUCAUCAG